rnacentral:rRNA from 1 species
CGAACGCUGGCGGCGUGCUUAACACAUGCAAGUCGAACGGUGAAGCGCCUUCCUUUUUGGUGGGUGUGGAUGAGUGGCGAACGGGUGAGUAACACGUGAGUAACCUGCCCCCUUCUUCUGGAUAACCGCAUGAAAGUGUGGCUAAUACGGGAUAUUCUGGGUCUGUCGCAUGAUGGGUCUGGGAAAGAUAUUGUUUCGGUGGGGGAUGGGCUCGCGGCCUAUCAGCUUGUUGGUGGGGUGAUGGCCUACCAAGGCGGUGACGGGUAGCCGGCCUGAGAGGGUGGACGGUCACACUGGGACUGAGACACGGCCCAGACUCCUACGGGAGGCAGCAGUGGGGAAUAUUGCACAAUGGGCGCAAGCCUGAUGCAGCGACGCCGCGGGAGGGAUGGAGGCCUUCGGGUUGUGAACCUCUUUCGCCAGUGAAGCAGGCCUGCCUCGUUUGUGGGUGGGUUGACGGUAGCUGGAUAAGAAGCGCCGGCUAACUACGUG